ensembl:lncRNA
UCUCAGCUGCAGAAAAUGUACAAAAGAAUGUGGGAGUUCCCAACUGUCUGAUCAUGGCAAAAAGGAAGCGUUGUCGUGGCAACGUGAUGAUGGAUGAAAGCUUCUGAAUGUCGGGCCUGCAGACAGAAGGCAGCAACUCCCAAUGAAUCCACUUCCUCCUUAUAGAUGGCUUUGUUUUAUUUCAGUAUGAACAAAGUGAAACAACUAAACACACAAAUACACUGAAUGUUUGAAAUAAUGUACGUUUAUACAGGAAAUUGUUAUUACAGAUUUCUAGAGUACUGCUACCAAAACAAAGCUUUGGGUACAAACCAGCGGAGCUCCAAAGCAACAACGAUCAGGAAAUUAACUAUUCCUUUUAUAUGAUAUAGACUUUUACUACAAUUGUUUUUAUGUAAAGUAACAAGGGAGCAACUUUCUUGAAUUAUGUUAAUGUAAUGAUUUACUCGAAAUAUAUAUUUGAAAAUGUACCAUUCAAUUCUAAAUGAUAAAAGGUACUUUUUAUCAAUUACAACAAAAUAUGUAGGUUAUGUGUGGUUUCUUUCAGUUUCUGAAUUAACUUUUCAGUUUUGUUUAACCAAUGUGUUGGGAAAAAGUCUCGGAAAUAGUAUAAAUGCUUUGUCCGAGUUGCAAAAACAGCAAUAGUGUUCUAGAGAUAAGUGUAUAAGUUGUAGAUAGGAGAGGUAAGAGGUGAGGGUGAGAGAAGAGAGUCUCUCAGAGUAUUCAAGUCAGAUAGAUUAGGUACCAGUAACCCAAGUCGAGCCAACAGAGCUUAGUCCAAAAUUCAGUUCAGUUCAGAGAAAGGUUUCCAGAGUUUGUUCCAUUCCAUUGCCAAAGAUUACCAACGUGAGAGUGGGAUAGAGGGGGACACAAAGUGUGAGUUGCCAUAUGCAAAAGACAGAGCGGUAGAUGUGACAGGAUAGAUAGAGAGCCAACUUGUAGACAGAGUGGAUACAAGGUACAGGAUAGAUAGAGAGCCAACUUGUAGACAGAGUGGAUACAAGGUAUAGGAGAGAUAGAGAGCCAACGUGAUAGAGGAGAGAUGCUGCACAGCAGGACACCUGGAAGACACAAUACAAAGACACUUUAGACAGCAGUUUGAAGAUCAAUUUAAGGAACAUCUAAAUGACCAGAAUAUCAACCAUUCUACCUCGAUAAUACCUCACUUAUUUAUAUGAAAAACAAUGUUGACCAUAAAUGGAUCAUUGAGUAGACUGGUUCAGAUGUCUCACAGCUUGCGUCUCUCUCCCAAGUUGUUUCACAGCGUCGCUGCUGCCACCUCUCCUUUUACAGGGUUUGCCUUUCAUGAUUACCAGUUUUCAUUUUAUUCUGAAGUAUUGUUUAUAUAAAUCAUCUUAUUUAUUUUAAAUAUAAAAUGUUUUAUUUAUUUUAAAUAUAAAAUGUUUAAGAAGCAUUGGAGUUUAUUCAUAAGAUGUUAACAAUCCACAAUUAAAAGAUGAUACUCUGAAUUCAUGGAGCCGUGAGAGUCACUGCCUUCUUGUGUUCACUGUUCUGAAACUAUUUCAGAAUAAAAGCCUUUUGUUAAUAAGGGGAUUCCUGGACAGGAAUCUCGAAAAGAGACUCAGACUCACACAGGAGGUGCGGCUUGGAGUUUUUCAUAACAACUUCACCAUGUGUUUUAACAAAGUGUAUUCAGUUUUCACUCAUGUGUGAACUUACUGUGAAGUCACCAGCAGUGAUGGUCUGUAGUUAAAGACAGAGAGGAAACAAGAAGAGUCGGGAGAGAAAUACAUUACAUUUACAUUCUUCUCAGAAAACCAGUGCAUCACAUCCCAUUUGACUCCAGAACUGUUCUUACGGUCGGGUGAUUAUUGUUACGUACAGAUAAGACAGAUUAUUAUGAUGGGAGGACAUUUAAAAGCCAAUGUAAUAUCAAUUUACUUAUAGCAUUAACAUUAACAAUGUGUAUGAACUUACACUUCAGAGUCAGCCUGCAGGAGAGGAAGGAGGUGAGGGAUGAAAAGAGAGAAAAAGACAUUUUCAAUUCACUUCAGAAAACCAACCUAAAGCUCAUUUUAAGUACUUUCAGGUUCCUUAUUUAUUAUCAAUGUAUAAUUUAAAAUGGACAUAGAAGUGUGUGUGUGACUGUGGGGAUACCGACUGUUGUCAACAACAUACAAUCGUAUCCCUUCAAUAUGUGUUAUUGCCUGUCAAGGACUUUAAGAAAUGCAGCUGGUUCUAUAGCAUAGGACACAACAUUAACGCUGCCACCAUCAAUUAUUAGUUACAGAUUAUGCAAGCUUUUUAAAUGUUAAUGUUUUCUGAUUGAACAGAUCGGAUUUCUGGCUAAAACAAUACAUCCACAAUAGAAA